GAUUUACAAGCCCUUUAUGAUGCUGUAGAUGGUUUCUCUCUCAUGACUUAUGACCAUUCAAGUCCUUAUAAUCCGGGUCCCAAUGCACCUCUGAAGUGGAUACGCUCCACCUUGCAUCUUCUUGUGGGUGCUGGCAGCAAAAGUAGGAGAUUGGGUGAAAAAAUCUUUGUCGGCAUCAACUUCUAUGGCAACGAUUUUGUCAUGUCCGGAGGUUUAGGC
rnacentral:misc_RNA from 1 species